GUAUGAAGUAGUAGACUAAAACAAGGCAUUAUUACAGAUACAGCCCUAUAGAACACGACGCAAGUACCUGCAACUCUCUCUCUCUCUCUCUUGCCUAGUUCUCGUGAAAAAGCCAGAAGGAUCUGGAACAAAAAACAACCCAGCAACUUCUUACCCUGUGGCUCAAAAGCUGUCAUCCACUUGAGUGAAAGGCUGCAAAACACAAGUUCUAGUGACUAUUUGAUACUGUCCUACGCACGGCAAAACUGCAUCGCACCUAGUUAUCGUGAAAACAUCAGAAGACCCAGGCAAAAACAAACCAGGUGGCCAUCUCCAUUCCUAGUUUCUCUCUUGGUCCAGCAGCCCUCUUGGUCCAGCAGCCGUGUACUGCAGCACACAACCAAACAAAACCCACAUUAUCUUCAAAAAGGAAACAAACGACAGAUAAAAUAAUGACCGGAAGGCCUGCUCGUGUGUGUGUGGAUUGUUGUUGUACAAACCAGUCGUCUGUGUCUGGAGACGAAUGUUGGGAUGACGAGUGGUAUGAAUCACCCCUGCCACAUAUCAAACGACGAUACAUGUAUCUACACCUGACGAGCUGUGGGGUUGAUUCAGACCACUCGUCGCCGACCCAACCCUCGUCUACAGACACUGACAACAUGUUUGUACACCAACAGUUGAGUGUCUCAGUAGACGAGUGUUGGGACAAUGAAGUAUAUGAGUCUCCAUUAUCUCAUAUUAAAACAGCAGCAUCAUUUAAAAAUAUUAUUAGGGAGCAACCACCGAAAAUGUCGAAAACGCAAAAAACAAAAUUUCGACAGGCGGAACGUGAGCGUCACCGACUAUUGUUUUUUAAAUGAUGCUCUUGUUUAUGUGUGGGUAACAGUUAGGCUAAGUUAUUUUUCUUGUUUUGCUGUUUUAGUUUUACCCUUAUUCUCUAGUUUUUAGGUUUUUUCGUGUUAGGUUAGUUUUUGUGUUAAGUUUUGUUGUUAAAGUUAGGCUGGUUUUUGUGUUAAGUUUUGUUGUUAAAGUUAGGUUAGUUUUGUGUUAAAAGUUAGUCUAUAGUUUGGCUUUUUAUUUUUGUCUUUGUAGUUUUUAGGUGUUAGGUUUUAUUUUCUAGUUUUUUAGGGUUUUUCAUGUUAAGUUGCUGUGUUAUAAGAAUAUACUUUUUUCCUCAUU
rnacentral:misc_RNA from 1 species